rnacentral:rRNA from 1 species
UAAUACAGAGGUGGCAAGCGUUGUUCGGAUUUAUUGGGCGUAAAGGGUUCGUAGGCGGACCGGAAAGUCAGAUGUGAAAUCCCACAGCUCAACUGUGGAACUGCAUUUGAAACUUCCGGACUAGAGUGUGAGAGGGGUAAAGGGAAUUCCCGGUGUAAGGGUGAAAUCUGCAGAGAUCGGGAGGAACACCAGUCGCGAAGGCGCUUUACUGGCUCACUACUGACGCUCAGGAACGAAAGCUAGGGUAGCAAACGGGAUUAGAUACCCCGGUAGUCCUAGCCGUAAACUAUGGUCACUAGGUGUUGGGAGGGUUAAACCUUUCAGUGCCGUCGCUCACGCAUUAAGUGACCCGCCUGGGGAGUACGGUCGCAAGGCUG